rnacentral:lncRNA from 1 species
GGCGGAAGUUGCAGGUUGGAGUAAAGGGGUGAGAUUGGGAGAGGCGGAGGUUGGUCGUGACUUUAAUUUGUGAUGGCGGAGGAAGGUCAUGGCUGCAAUUCGUGAUGGCGGAGGAAGAUCAUGGCUGCAUUUGUUGCCUCUUGGUUGCAGGAAGUUAGAGAAAGAAAGAAGCAGAGUGGAUGGGAAUCGCAGAGAUUUUAGAGAGAGAGAGGGAGUAGCAAGCUAGAACUGGCCGGGAACCGCUAGAACCGGGCGGGAACCGGCGGUUCUGCUCUAGAACCGAGCGGUUCCUGAUUUUGUACAAGAACCGACACGGUCUGUGCCGAUUCCCGAGUCGAACCGGAUGGUUCGACCCGUCGCUUUUUUUAAACACUGGGUACGACACUGACUGUAUAUCGCGACCCUACCAACACGACCCUAGCUCCUUACCUCAAGUUUGGUUUGGGUGAGUCAGUGCUACUAACUUAUUAAGAACUCAAAAUCCAUGUUUUGCAUUGUGAAUAUUUUCGAUGAUUAUCAUAUGAACUCCAAAAUUUCAUAGACAAGUAGGUUUUUAUCCAAUGGAGUAAAUGCACAAUGUACUCCCACAAGAGUUGCUAGGCACUCUCUCUUUCACAUUAAGUUAUUAGGCACUCUCUCUUUCACAUUAAGUUAUGCAAGUCUCCAAAGUACUUAGCACCGGGUUUUUCGAUUCUACGAUCCAACUAACAAGGGUCCGUUUAGAUACCUGGAAAUAUAUUAUUGGUGUAAUACAUUAUUUGUAAAUGGAUUGUCACUGUUUGGGUGGUAUUUAGAUGCAAC